AUCAUUUAUAGUGUCUCUUGAUUGUUUUGUGUGCAGCUAUGGACAUCAAAGAUAAGUAUGGCUGGCUUCUAUGGUGUGUAGGUCGAUGUCUCUUCACAGCAAAAGAUAAGUAGUUCCAUUGUGUACAGUGUCUCUCAUGCUCUCUGUGUAGGUUGAUUGUGUGUGUGGAGGAGCCACUGUAACAGCAUACACACAGAUCGAUGAGUAGCUAGCUAUGUUGUGUGGCAAGUCUCUCAUGUUCUCUGUUUUUGUAAUGAAACCAUCCGUGACUCGCCUGUUUUCCUGCCAGAAUUCCCACGAAAAGCAGAAACAGUCUGUUGUGGUCUUCCUUUAGUGCCUCAUGACCUCUCAUGGUGUUACACUGAUGUUGUGCUUUAUUUAGAGUUAGAUGAUCUUGCCAGUUUGUAAAACUAAAGAAACAAAGACUUUUUACUACAGAAAAACUACAAUUUUACAAGGUUUGAUCCCUUUUUAAGAAACAGUACUCAUCCAUAUUACUAUUCUUCAAGUUUUCCUGGUUGUAUGUAUGUAGGUUGAUCUACUGAAAGGCAAAAAUCGCCUAUUCAUACCGUUUAGAAUGUGUUGUAGUGUUGCGUAUGGCUUAUUUCAUCUGACGUUUUAUGCUCCCUUUUUAAGAAACACACAUGCUUUUAAAAUUAUACUGACUUUAUGAGAGUGUUUAUCAAUGUCAGGUCCAUCAACUGGCACAGGUUUUGUGCUUUAAAUUUUUGUCAGUUGCAGAAAAUAUGACUGGAGGUGUAAGGCCUGAUUAUCGGCUUAUAAUAGUAAGAAACAGAACUGGGAUAGAAAGCUCCAGUCAUACAAUUAGAUCUUCAUCGUACUAUCAGUAUGCUGGAAGAAAUCAUAGUUAUGAAGCUGAAGAAGGAAGAGUUGAUUGACUAUUUUGGGCUACAUAAUUAAAAAACGAAAUGAAAGACUUUGUUACAUGCAAAAGACCUGUACAGUUGUAUAGCACCAGCUCUACUUCAUGCAGUAGCAGCAGUAGAACCUUAUAUGACUUGUGAAAUGUUGAUAAUAUUAUUUAUUAAAAUUUGGUAUUAAUAAAAAUUUAUGUCGUACAGAACAUGUUACAGAGAAUAUUGAUAAUGGCUAUAGUACUAUCAGUCUAUCUAUGUUAUCUAGUUCUUGUGCAUACAAGCCCAGAGCUCGUAUCAAAUGUGAGAAUGGACAUGAACACAAGCAGUAUUGUCUAAGUAUUAAAGUGUUGUUUCUGAGCUUCUCUCUUUCUUGUUGACUUUGAGAAUCCCUCUCAGUAUUUAACUUGAGGCACAUUCUUGGGAUGUCAACUUGCAUCUGUCAUCAAUGACUUCUUUCAGAGUUAAUAAUGACUUGUUCUCUCUGUUAUUUUUAUUGCCAUAGUUUGGAGGC